GCAUGUUCACUGAGGUAAGGUAACCAUUUGUUGCAGGUGUGAACAUGCACAAGACCUGGAUUGCAAGAUUCCGUGGAAUUGUAGUGCAAGAGCUGGAUUUUUUUGGGCGAAAGCAACAAGAUUUGCAUGUUCACUGAGGUAAGGUAACCAUUUGUUGCAGGUGUGAACAUGCACAAGACCUGUGGAUUGCAAGAUUCUGUGGAUUUAUAGUGCCGGAGUCCCCAGUGUGCAGUUAUAGUGCAACGACCUAGAGUUCUGUGAAAGCUACAAGAUUUGCAUGUUCACAAAGGUUACCAGGCUAAGGAGCAUGUGUGAAAGGGAUCUUUUUAUCCCUACAUCCUGAUGCAGGCUGGGAUACUAGGGCUGAUGGGAUCUGCUUUAUCCCUGUGCCCUUCAGAUCAGGAUGGACUUUGGAAUCAAUUACCCCUACACCUGAUGCAGGACCACUUUCAGCAGGACUAUGGGAUCUGCUUUAUCCCUGUGUCCUUCAGAUCAAGAUGGACUUUGGAAUCAAUUACCCCUACACCCGAUGCAGGACCACUUUCAGCAGGACUAUGGGAUCUGCUUUAUCCCUGUGUCCUUCAGAUCAAGAUGGACUUUGGAAUCAAUUACCCCUACACCCAAUGCAGGACCACUUUCAGCAGGACUAUGGGAUCUGCUUUAUCCCUAUGUCUAUCAUUUUCAGUUGGCAAGCUACUAGGGGGCUACUAUUUCCCAGAGUACGCUUAUUUGUAGCUCAUUAGAGGGAUCUGUUAUAUCCCUCUGAAGACUGUGACUAUGGGAUCUCCUAUAUCCCAAUGUCAUUAGGGCUUAGCUAGGUGCAGGAAUAUAAAAUGGAAGGAAAACUUUGGAGUUUAUUCCAGUUUGCAGGAUGUGCGGUGAUAAACAUCCAUGACCGAGGCUCCGAUGUGAGACGUGGCUGUAAACCCAGAACAUGGUGAAAGACAACGGACGCCAAGAAGCCCCAGAUGGCUUCUCAUCAGUUUAAUUUUUAUAACAGCAUACAGCUUUCAUUAAGGAACAACCACAAGGCCACAAUAUAUGACAAAGAUGAGAGCUUGGUGAUGGCAGCAAUGCUAUUUAUCCCUACAGUUUUCAUUGAAGAACAACCACAAGGCUAUCUUGAUAACAUACAUGAUAGCAUUCAGCAUGGUGCUGACAACUACAUCUACAUGGCUACCCUGAUAUCACAGAUGGUAUAAUUCAGCAUGAUGACAGCAAUGCUUGGACAGGACCAAACACCGAGACAUCAACUUUGGACUUCUGCAUCUCCACCCUGCUGCCACUUUCAUCCUAGACUUCAGCACCUUCACACGUACCCUCACUGCAAUGACAUUCAACCUCACCUUAUCACCACAUGCACCACUCACCCUUUCACCGUUCACUUUCACCCUAGACUUCAGCACCUUCACAUGUACCCUCACUGCAAUGACAUUCAACCUCACCUUAUCACCACAUGCACCGCUCACCUGCACAUCAAUUCAUGCCUCCACCACAUUCACCUCCACUUUUGCACCAUCACAUUGGCAGCAAACAUCAAGUUGUCAACUCCGAGCUGCUGCAGUUCUUCCAGCUUGGAAUCUGCUCUCCUGAUGUGGUCAUUUCCUCAUCUGUCCGAGAUCUGUAGAGAUGUACUCCGCACACUUACAACAUGAAAGUUCCUACAACAUACAUGCAGGCUGGACCUGGUCAUGAGAAAUGGAUUUGUGAGGAUUGUCUUUCAGGAGUUGAAACUACUCAGGAGGUCGAAGCAAAGACUUUGUAGCUGAGCAAUAUCAACUGUUGCCAAGUGCCUUUUUUUCCAAAUCUUCACAGAACUGAUGGCCCUGAUGCUCUCUGUUGUCGGUCUUGCAAGAAGACCUGAACCCAGUGCUCAUACAGAGCCGUAUAGCCAGGAACUUGAACUUCUGUGACGUAUAGCAAGGACUGGACAAUGCUAGGCAUUUUGGAACCAAAUAUGGAACUCAGUCUGCAGCUUCGACUAGAACUUUUCAUCACCAUAACUGAUUUAUUUUUAAAGUGUAAAUCUUUUUGCAAAAAUGGUUUUUGUUUCGGCACAAUUAUUUUUAUGUAAAGAACAGUUAAAUAUAACAGCUGAUGUUUAGGCCUAGAAUUCUGGGGUUUUUUUGGUAAUGUUUCAAAGUUGAACUGGAAAGACAACAUUGAAUGAGGACGAAGAUCCAGUUUACAAUCAAUGGUAAUUACCAAAGAAAGAAAUUUAUCAAAGCAUUUUCAGAUUGCUAGCAUUACUUUAAUCUAAAAGUAACUGAAAUGAAUGGUUUAGAAGUUCAGUCCCAACCAUGCUUUGAAUUUACAUCCAAUUUUAUAUCCGUGCUGUUAGUACAGUGCCCUCAUUUUCAUGCCCCAAAAUACUGCCUUUUGGGAUUUUUUUUAAUGCUUAUAAUCACUACAGCACCUCUGAAUAAUUUAUUAACUCACAGGUGCAUCACCUUGUUUCUUUAAAUUUGUGAAAGUGAUCACACACUUAUACAUGUAUAUCCAAGAUUUGGAAAAGCUGCAACUUGCGUUUGAAAUGCCAUUAAAUGUUGCAGGGAUGCUUUAUGAAAGAAUUGAUAUUUUAAUAGUAAAAACAAGUGGAUAGAGCAUCGUUUCUUUUGGUUCAUUGGCAUAGCAUUAAGUGACUGCAACUCCCAUACAGAUGGAGGCAUAUUCAUUACAACUGCAGACAACCUAUAACAAAUUUCCUCUGGCAAUCAGUACCAUAGAAAAAGGUGGAGAUUUUGACAUCUGUGUUAAUGCAUCUCAUGGUGUAAAGCAUUCAGAGCGUUAAAGAUAUCAACUUGUGCUGUUUAGGUCAACUGUAGAGCAUUUUGAAAAAUGCAAAUUUAUCAUGAUUUAGAAUUCCUCUGCCAUUGUACGGGAACACUGAGUGAAGUGUUGAAGAGUGUUCUUGUAGGGAGGAAUUUUUGGUCGUUUGGGCAAAAGAAGCCAUGGUUUGGCCAAUGCAGUCCAUUAUGACUCAGAAUUUGAGGCAACAAUCCUUUGAAAUCUUGUAAAGUCACUUGUGGAUAUUGGAAAUAAGAUAGAACAAAAAAGAAAACGGUAUUAUUAAAUAACGUUGACAUUUAUCUCUACACAGUUAACUUGUCCUUACUGCAGUAAACUGAAGUCCAUGUGCUACAUUUUGCAAACAAGAUCGGCAAGACUACAUGUCCAUGCAGGUCUUUUACAUGUAUAGUACAUGUACAAUAAAAUGUUCUGUGAAGACUGACCGGUCGUUAUCAAUCUGAUUUAUAGUUUUAUUUUUUCAAUUUGGCAGUCAGUUCACAAUUCUGAAAUACGCUCAUUUCAAAUCCCAAUUUUCAAAAAAAUCAGUGUUAAUUAACCCUUUACCAAAUGUGACUUAUUUCUCAAACAGGCAAUCCAAAAAUUUAAGAAUAGAGAUGUUAUUGCAUAAAUUUCAUUUCAAGGAUUUGGUCAGCAAAAAUGUGUCAGUUUGUAAAAUUCUAACCAAAAUGCUUAAAAAAAUGCUGGAAGGAAAAUGUGACAAGUUACUGGACAUUUCUUCAAUUUCAAUUAUUUCACUUGCAAGAUAUAGAUUUGGCAAGAUAGCAAUGAAAUAAAAUGAGCAAAACUGACAAAUUUA